ACGGGAGGCAGCAGUAGGGAAUCUUCCGCAAUGGACGAAAGUCUGACGGAGCAACGCCGCGUGAGUGAAGAAGGUUUUCGGAUCGUAAAACUCUGUUGUUAGAGAAGAACAAGGAUGAGAGUAACUGCUCGUCCCUUGACGGUAUCUAACCAGAAAGCCAUGGCUAACUACGUGCCAGCAGCCGCGGUAAUACGUAGAUGGCAAGCGUUGUCCGGAUUUAUUGGGCGUAAAGCGAGCGCAGGCGGUUCUUUAAGUCUGAUGUGAAAGCCCCUGGCUCAACCAGGGAGGGUCAUUGGAAACUGGAGAACUUGAGUGCAGAAGAGGAAAGUGGAAUUCCAUGUGUAGCGGUGAAAUGCGUAGAUAUAUGGAGGAACACCAGUGGCGAAGGCGACUUUCUGGUCUGUAACUGACGCUGAGGCUCGAAAGCAUGGGGAGCAAACAGGAUUAGAUACCCUGGUG
rnacentral:rRNA from 1 species